rnacentral:rRNA from 1 species
CCUACGGGAGGCAGCAGUGAGGAAUAUUGGUCAAUGGGCGCGAGCCUGAACCAGCCAAGUAGCGUGAAGGAUGACUGCCCUACGGGUUGUAAACUUCUUUUAUAAAGGAAUAAAGUGAGGCACGUGUGCCUUUUUGUAUGUACUUUAUGAAUAAGGAUCGGCUAACUCCGUGCCAGCAGCCGCGGUAAUACGGGGGAUGCGAGCGUUAUCCGGAUUUAUUGGGUUUAACGGGUGCGUAGGCGGCGCGUUAAGUCAGUGGUCAAAUUGAGGGGCUAAACCCCUAACCGCCAGUGACACUGGCGAUCUUGAGUGGAGGAGAAGUAUGCGGAAUUCGUGGUGUAGCAGUGAAAUGCAUAGAUAUCACGCAGAACCCCGAUUGCGAAGGCAGCAUGCCGGCUUCCGACUGACGCUGAAGCACGAAAGCGUGGGGAGCGAACAGGAUUAGAUACCCCAGUAGUC